CCUACGGGUGGCAGCAGUGGGGAAUAUUGGACAAUGGGCGAAAGCCUGAUCCAGCCAUGCCACGUGUGUGAAGAAGGCCUUCGGGUUGUAAAGCACUUUCAGUGGGGAAGAAAGCCUUGGGGCUAAUACCCUCGAGGAAGGACAUCACCCACAGAAGAAGCACCGGCUAACUCCGUGCCAGCAGCCGCGGUAAUACGGAGGGUGCGAGCGUUAAUCGGAAUUACUGGGCGUAAAGCGCGCGUAGGCGGUCUGAUAAGCCGGUUGUGAAAGCCCCGGGCUCAACCUGGGAACGGCAUCCGGAACUGUCAGGCUAGAGUGCAGGAGAGGAAGGUAGAAUUCCCGGUGUAGCAGUGAAAUGCGUAGAGAUCGGGAGGAAUACCAGUGGCGAAGGCGGCCUUCUGGACUGACACUGACGCUGAGGUGCGAAAGCGUGGGUAGCAAACAGGAUUAGAUCCCCCAGUAGUC
rnacentral:rRNA from 1 species